rnacentral:lncRNA from 1 species
UGCUACUUUGUCUCACAGUGGGAAGUACAGAUGACUCCCCAGGUGAGACGGCAUUUGAUUGAGAGCUUAAAACAAGAGUUCCACAGAUGAGGAGAAGAAAGAAGCUUUCACUCCAGGCAGGAGGAACAGUGUGAGGGUGAAUACAGAGUAUGGUAGAGGAAAACAGAAUGGCCUGAGCAAGAAAGGGUAACAAACCAGCCAACAAAUGGGAGGUUUUUCCUGAGUGCAUGAUGAGAAAGGCAGGUGCUACUGGAAAUCACUGGGUUACUGGGACUAAGAACAUUGGUGAGCAUGUUGGGUGGGUGAUUUUUCACAAAUCCGGAUGGGAGGAAAGGAAGAAUCUAAAGGAACAGCAAGGACUCACAAGAACAGAUGUCCAAUGAGGCUAAAGAAUGGGUUACAAAAAGAAAAAGAAAGCAGAAAAAGGAUUUCAAAAUUCAGGAUUUCAAAGAUUGAGUCAUUUUAUAUGUGACAAGGCUCCAGGACUGCCAGGAAAGCUGCAGAACAGAGGUCUGAAAACAUAAGAGAAGCCAGGAAAAUGCAAGUCCUUCCUCCUGACCCUAGAAAAUCUCUGCUGCCAAGGCUGGGACUCUGCUGCCAACUUCAGGCCUGGGAAAACCAAGACUCCAGGAGCUCUACCUCUAGGAUUCUUCCAAACAUCUCACCAUGUCCUCUGAUACCUCUGUAGUCAUCUGCCACAACCUACUUCUGAAUAAAUCCUACAUUCCACCUUUCUGUGCC